UAUAGGAUACAGUGACGCAGUAUUCUAGUCGGAUCUUCUGUCUCCUAAGAAGGGCCUAAAAAUCCUUUAAAGGGCAUAACUGUGAAACUUCUUGUGUUUGCUUUCGGCGCCCAGCCGGGGGUGGAUGCUGGAAGGAAGUGAUUACCACUUGCGCUCUCAGGGCGCCUCCAACGGCAUGGAGUCAACGACCCUGUUUGCGUGGAGACCUGUUUUCGUGCCGGGAGCAACCCGUUUUGCCGGAUAGGCUACCCCGGUACGUGACAGAUUGUGAACCUGCAAUGCGGUGCUCAAUGACGCUGUGUGCAGAGUAGCCUGCCUUGCGUGGCGGGUGCGGAUAGCCAUGAAGAUAUGCCAGGUCGCGGCCGGACGGAAGCGUAUCGGUGUUUUCACCGUAAUGGCUUGAAAUACUCGCUGCAAAAGAGGCUAAGAGACAGUUUGACCGUCGUGGAAAACACCUAGGCUGUCGGGCGCGGCUGGCGCCCGGACCGGCGAUGGAUUGCAGUGCGGACUCAGUGGCAGUCGGGCCCCGGAGACGGUAACGCUUCGGACACGUCUUCAAAGGGAAACCGCCUCAUCGGCGACGAGAGGCAGACGCGUGGGAAAGCUCGCCCGUACCUAAGCCGUAAGAUUUACAUCGCCGGUUGU
rnacentral:sRNA from 1 species